CAGAGGUCCCAAGCGUUGUUCGGAUUCACUGGGCGUAAAGGGUGCGCAGGUGGGUUUGCAAGUUUGAUGUGAAAGCCCCGGGCUUAACCCGGGAAUGGCAUUGAAUACUGCAGAUCUGGAGGAUUGGAGGGGGGACUGGAAUUCUUGGUGUAGCAGUGAAAUGCGUAGAUAUCAAGAGGAACACCAGUGGCGAAGGCGAGUCCCUGGACAAUACCUGACACUGAGGCACGAAAGCUAGGGGAGCAAACAGGAUUAGAUACCCUGGUAGUCCUAGCUGUAAACGGUGCGCAUUUGCUGUAAACGGAAUCGACCCCGUUUGUGGCGAAGCUAACGCGAUAAAUGCGCCGCCUGGGAAGUACGGUCGCAAGAUUA
rnacentral:rRNA from 1 species